rnacentral:rRNA from 1 species
AAGGAAUAUUGGUCAAUGGAGGCAACUCUGAACCAGCCAUGCCGCGUGCAGGAUGAAGGCCCUAUGGGUCGUAAACUGCUUUUAUACCAGAGAAAACCCUUCCACGUGUGGAAGGCUGAUAGUAUGGUAAGAAUAAGCAUCGGCUAACUUCGUGCCAGCAGCCGCGGUAAGACGAAGGAUGCAAGCGUUAUCCGGAUUCAUUGGGUUUAAAGGGUGCGUAGGCGGACCAGUAAGUCAGUGGUGAAAUCUCUUUGCUUAACAAAGAAACUGCCAUUGAUACUGCUAGUCUAGAGUAUAGAUGACGUUGGCGGAAUAUGACAUGUAGUGGUGAAAUACUUAGAUAUGUCAUAGAACACCGAUUGCGAAGGCAGCUAACGAAACUAUAACUGACGCUGAGGCACGAAAGUGCGGGGAUCAAAC